rnacentral:misc_RNA from 1 species
GGGUUUUCCGUUAGUGGGUUCUCGUGCUUCUCAUUUUUUGGCGAGGAAUUUUGAUGACAAGAGUAAAAAGUUUCCAUCUUUCAAUGAAAUUGAAAGGUUUAGUGUUAGUAUCAGGUGUUCAAAGUUUAAGCCCUACCCAAGGAGAAUUCGCUGAGUAAGAGUGAAUUGAUUGGCUGUGAUGAGAGAACAAGCCCAAACGAGAUCAGAAAAGAGAUAGAACGAUGCUAUGAACUCAUAGAGAGACUUGGAAGGGGA